ACGUCAACCAGGAUGUGAGGUCAUUGAGUGAAUGUGUGUGUGUGGAGCGAAUGUGAGAGUGGUUGUCCGUAUGCUUGAAUGUGUGUGUGUUUUGUGAGUGUGUGAGAGAAUGAAUGAGAUCAUUUAAAAAAAAAAAUCUACACCGUGAUCUUAUUUGAUCUGUUCCGAGUUGUUGCCCUGCUCGGAUACAGAGAUGAUAAUAACCGACUCGGGAGCUUUUGUAGCGAUGAUCGCGAGGCUUUCCACAAAACUCGGGCAUCCACAGUUGAAGCUGUGGUUAGAAAUGAUGAAUCGAUCAGAUAUACUAGAGCAGGCAGCGCGCUGGAUCUCGGUCCGGUGGGCCUCGCUUGUUCGCUGAGUAUACCGGCGAUUCUGAUCUCA